UUUCAAUUUCUAAUGUGACUGACGUUUAUGGCAGUUUGGGUACAGCUUUGGUAUCCUCUUGCAAGCCAAGAGCACCGUGGGCUCCCGUUGUAACCCUGGCUCCUGGGCUCUUAAACUCUAAAGAAUGGAGCAACACUUCGUUAGCAGUGCAAUUCUUUUCCCUGGUGCUGUCCAGGAGAAAAUGGCCCGAUGUCCCCAGCAGAUUUCAAUUCAGCAGUGAGAGAAGAGGAGGCCAAAGGCCUUUACACGAAGCAGAUGAGUUACUGCUUCAUUUUUCAAUAUUAUUCAAGUAGACAACGCCACGCUGACAGUUAAUAUAGAAAAUGGGGCAUCUCCUCCUCCGUGGAGAGAGGGGCUGAGGAGGGAUGGGAUGUCAGAGGCUCUGGCAAACCCAGAGAAGCAGCAGCUUUUCCUGUUGCUCUGCACUCUGGUUAGAGCAAAUGAACAAGAGAAUUUGCAAUUGGUAUCCGACGAGGUGCAAAUUAGCUAGUUACCACCAGCUCCUUCCUGAGCCUCAUUUCUUUUUGCUCUGGGACGAUGGGGGAGAGGAAAACCACUGAUGUACGUCUAACAGCGUUGUGCCUCCAAAGACCCACCAAGCAAAAAUAGCAUGUAGCUAUUCUAAAGCUGCAAAGCUGCUUAAGUUAGAAAGUUGGCAAAGCCUGAACGAGCUUGCUGACAGGGCAGGGAGACAAGAAGGUGGCAGAGUGAAAGCAAAGGCUUGGUGUCUCCCUCUCCCAAGCACCCAAGUGGUGGCACCCAAGAGCUACAGGAGAAAUGCAGUGGAGUUGUGCUGCCUGUGCCCUUCUUUUGCAAGAGGGGGAGAGCAACGCACGGAGAUACUGGGUGACCUUCUGGAAGCUGCUGGGUAUCUCUGUCACCUCUAUACAAGUGCAGAAAUGGAGGCAGAAGAGCAUGGAAGGUCUGUGACAACAUCUGACGUGGUUUCUGAGCACCCUGCUUCUCACCUCGGAGCCUCAGCCGCAGGACACUCUGUUUUCUUGCAGCCAAGGAGAAGUUGGAGGUAGAGAAAAUGAAGAAACUGUUGGUAGCUGCCAUUUCUCAUGGAAAAAAUGGAGUGGUAUUGUCUAUUUUUAUAAUAGGUUUUUCAGAAAGUCUGCCAGGAUUGAUUUUAAAACUGUAGAAUUAGAGAAUCUCUGACAUCGCCAGGUCAGUUGCUCCAAAGGUUAAUAAUUUCUAUUAAAAACAACCCUUUGCUUCUCACACAGUGUUUGGGGAUGGGGAAUGAAGGCAUGGGUCUGCUCUCCUCUCUGCUUUUUACUUUGCUGGCUGCCAAAACCAGAAUUUCUUCCAGAAUCUCCACAUACUGAUGGUGCAAGUGGACAAUUCAACACUGCUCCCACAUGCCCAGAUGUGAUGGGGGCUGACCUCCCCACCUAAAUAAAUCUAAAUAAAUCUCCUCUGCCCUGCUAGGAGCUCACGUGUGAAAACCCUGCAGCAGGGCCGGUGGCAGCCUGCCCUCCUAGGGGAGUAUUUUGCAAGCUAGAAAAGAAAAGCUUAAAACCAUCAGGAUGUCUCACUGUCUGAGAAAAUCUAUCUGAGAUUAUUCCGAGCCUUGUUCCCAAUCAACCCGAGGCGACGGGAGAAUUGCAUGCUCCUGUGAUUUAAUCAAGAAGGACGCAGCGUGGUCCAGCCGCUGUUCGGCUGCUGCUCAGAGCACAGCUGUGGCAGCCGGGCAAAGCCAUUCCCAAAAAGCAGCAAACGGGCCUGAGGGGAUCAACCGCCUGAAGAAAUGCUUAGGCUGCACCCUGCUUAGCCCCUCCGCUCACAAAACGGCCGGCUAAUAACAGGCAGAUCCUCAAAUCACCAUUGAAGGUGUUGUGAGGGAAUGGCCUCACUCUGCUAACUUUCAAUAAUCGGCGAAGCACCAGCAAUAGAGUUUGUGCACUGCGGUGGAAGAGAUCUAUUAAGAGUACUUUCCAAGCCUGUGCUGCUGGGGAGAAGAGUUAAUUGAAACUAUAGUGCUUAUUUUAAUUGUGUCUGUCCAUAAGCUUUAGCUGGGAUUGCUGUGCCGAGCUGGCUUCCCCACUCCGAUGGCUCCGGCUGGUGGUACAGUAUCAGCAGCUUUGGAUUUAUUAUCCUAAAGUACAGCAGGACUUCAGGGCCGACCAGAAACCAGCCCUUGCAGAGAGACAGGGCUGCCUUCAUCCUUUCCGCAGUGGGCUCUUAGGGCCAUGGGGUUUUCCUCCAUCACUGCUCCCACCCAGGGCCGGUCCAUAUCUCCACGUCCAGCCAUGCCUCCCUCCAGGUAAAUAAGGAUUUUGCCCUGCAGGAGGGUCUGGCUGCUGCUGUGCUGCCCAGGAGUGCUGCUCCACAUUUCCAGCCUGAAAAUACCCACCAUGAAGAGGGUGGCCUUUACAAGUCACCUUACCCCUGCCACCUCACCAGGUGCCUGCCCCAGCUUUGCUCCUCGCCCCCCGUGCCCUGCAGGGAGGUGAUGCUGUGCAGGCAAGCCCUGCGCUCGCUCAGCCCGCGCCGGCACAGGGAAGGCAACCUUGUGCAAAUUACACUGAGUGUAAAUUAUCCUGAUUUCAAAAGGGCUCUGCUGUGCUGAGAAAACAUAAACUGGUUUUAAGGCUACGCGGGAACCAAGCUUGCUGUUUUAAAAAUCUGAUCACCUUGAGCUCGGGACCCCUGGGAGGUUUCCAAAGUCUCCAGCAGAGCCUUGCUUUGUUUGCGUGGAUUAAAAAUGUAAAUAUAUUUAGGCUAUGAAUGCAGAAUGGGGAGAAAAUAAAUGAUUAAAAAAUAUUAUGCAUUUCCGAUUUUUAGAUUUAUGCUCUUUCUCAUAAAAGCAUGAAUGACAUUUAUUUGGCUGGCUGCAUAAUCCAUGUUAACAAGACAAUUAGUAUGUGCUGAAAGUUAUUAUUUUCCUCGGCACGUCAAAGUCAGGGCUGCUGCUGGAUUUGGAAUGGAGCCUUGAUUCAUUUCUUCUUUGUGGUAAAAGAUAAUAUUGAAUUUUUCUCCAAAGAUCUUGACAGCAUGUAAUUAAUACUAUUUUUUUAAAAACUUUUUUUUUUUUUUCCUUCCCUGCCUUAAAUAAAAUGGAGCAAAACACAACAACCUAGCUGGGGAAAAA